UACGUAGGGACCAAGCGUUGUUCGGAUUUACUGGGCGUAAAGGGCGCGUAGGCGGCGUGGUAAGUCAGCUGUGAAAUCUCCGAGCUUAACUCGGAACGGUCAGCUGAUACUGCUGUGCUAGAGUACAGAAAGGGCAAUCGGAAUUCUUGGUGUAGCGGUGAAAUGCGUAGAUAUCAAGAGGAACACCUGAGGCGAAGGCGGGUUGCUAGGCUGAUACUGACGCUGAGGCGCGAAAGCUAGGGUAGCAAAC
rnacentral:rRNA from 1 species